CCUACGGGUGGCUGCAGUGAGGAAUAUUGGUCAAUGGACGAGAGUCUGAACCAGCCAAGUAGCGUGCAGGAUGACUGCCCUAUGGGUUGUAAACUUCUUUUAUAUGGGAAUAAAAUGUUCCACGUGUGGGAUUUUGUAUGUACCAUAUGAAUAAGGAUCGGCUAACUCCGUGCCAGCAGCCGCGGUAAUACGGAGGAUCCGAGCGUUUUCCGGAUUUAUUGGGUUUAAAGGGAGCGUAGGUGGAUUGUUAAGUCAGUUGUGAAAGUUUGCGGCUCAACCGUAAAAUUGCAGUUGAAACUGGCAGUCUUGAGUACAGUAGAGGUGGGCGGAAUUCGUGGUGUAGCGGUGAAAUGCUUAGAUAUCACGAAGAACUCCGAUUGCGAAGGCAGUUCACUGGACUGCAACUGACACUGAGGCUCGAAAGUGUGGGUAUCAAACAGGAUUAGAUACCCGAGUAGUC
rnacentral:rRNA from 1 species